GGUGAACGCUGGCGGCGUGCUUAAGACAUGCAAGUCGAACGGCAGUCUUCGGACUGUAGUGGCGCACGGGUGAGUAACGCGUAACUGACCUACCCCAAAGUCGCGGAUAACGAUUCGAAAGAAUCGCUAAUACGUGAUGUGCUGUCAGAUUGUGUUCUGCCAGUAAAGAUUGAUUGCUUUGGGAUGGGGUUGCGUUCCAUCAGCUAGUUGGUGGGGUAAAGGCCCACCAAGGCGACGACGGAUAGCCGGCCUGAGAGGGUGGCCGGCCACAGGGGCACUGAGACACGGGUCCCACUCCUACGGGAGGCAGCAGUUAGGAAUCUGCCACAAUGGGCGAAAGCCUGAUGGAGCGACGCCGCGUGAGGGAUGAAGGUCUUCGGAUCGUAAACCUCUGAAUCAGGGACGAAAGACACUUCGGUGGGAUGACGGUACCUGAGUAAUAGCACCGGCUAACUCCGUGCCAGCCGCCGCAGUAA
rnacentral:rRNA from 1 species